AACGAACGCUGGCGGCAUGCCUAACACAUGCAAGUCGAACGAGACCUUCGGGUCUAGUGGCGCACGGGUGCGUAACGCGUGGGAACCUGCCCUUAGGUUCGGAAUAACUCCCCGAAAGGGGUGCUAAUACCGGAUAAUGUCCUCGGACCAAAGAUUUAUCGCCUUUGGAUGGGCCCGCGUUGGAUUAGCUAGUUGGUAGGGUAAAAGCCUACCAAGGCGACGAUCCAUAGCUGGCCUGAGAGGAUGAUCAGCCACACUGGGACUGAGACACGGCCCAGACUCCUACGGGAGGCAGCAGUGGGGAAUAUUGGACAAUGGGCGAAAGCCUGAUCCAGCAAUGCCGCGUGAGUGAUGAAGGCCUUAGGGUUGUAAAGCUCUUUUACCCGGGAUGAUAAUGACGGUACCGAGAGAAUAAGCUCCGGCUAACUCCGUG
rnacentral:rRNA from 1 species